GACGGGGGGGGCAAGUGUUCUUCGGAAUGACUGGGCGUAAAGGGCACGUAGGCGGUGAAUCGGGUUGAAAGUGAAAGUCGCCAAAAAGUGGCGGAAUGCUCUCGAAACCAAUUCACUUGAGUGAGACAGAGGAGAGUGGAAUUUCGUGUGUAGGGGGUGAAAUCCGUAAAUAUACGAAGGAACGCCAAAAGCGAAGGCAGCUCUCUGGGACGGUACUGACGCUGAGACGCGAAAGCGUGGGGAGCGAACAGG
rnacentral:rRNA from 1 species